rnacentral:lncRNA from 1 species
CCUGAGAUGCAAAACGGGGAGGGGGGGAGACUUCUCUCGACCUCUCGGACUCCUUUCUCUGGCUUCGGAGAACGCUAUAGCUUCUGUAGCUGGAGCGUAGUCUCAAACCUGUGGACUUCUUACACCCUGGGAAAGCAUAUUGACCAGAGUGCUACCUUCCAGCAAGGGUGGUCAACAGAACAUCACUCACUCUCUUUGUUAAGUAACUGUCGGUCCAGAGAACCAGGAUGA